AAUAGUUUCUAUCUGACAGGCAAGCCUUGUCCAAUUGUUUCCAUUUCCCAUAGUGUAAGGCUUUUAAAAUCCUGUACUCCAGCAGCAUUUGCAUCAAAGGAGCAUUUGAGCCAUACUGAGCUCGAGUUGCUUUUAAUUCUUUGAGUUGUUUGAAUGGGCUCAGGGUAACUAAGUUAUUAAUUGUCCUGCACACAUCUUUGUUCUGUUACUAAUAACAUUUGUACUUUCUCUCCUCAGCAAGUACCUUCCCUAAAACUAGCUUGCUUGAGAGAUACACAACACAACUGGGUGUUUACACUACUCCAGGUCUCUGUAUCAUUGCUUGAUCUAAACCAGCCCUUGGGUAAGAGGAGGAGUGCUUUUGUGAUAAGAGGAGAUUUAUAGAGUUUCCAACUUCUGUGAAGCUUCUUCACUGAAUCCUCCAUGUUCCAGAAACAUGUCGUUACCAUGGCCCAAGUGUUAGUCAACAGAGUUUCUGGAGAGGAAGUGAGAAUGAGAUGGGACAAGAGACACCGGAGAUGGAGACAAGACAGGAUUCUUAUCAAGUCUUGUUUAUUCAAGGGAAUAAUCCAGGAAAUAUUGAGAUUGGCGGAGAAAUAAGUCAGCAGCUCUGAUGCUGAUCUCCAAGGUAACCACAGGCUUUGUUCCUAUUGGUGGAAUUGAGAUCCCACUCCUCAUUGUUUAAGGAAAAAUUUGAAUGCACACACUCCUUCAGUCCGCGGCAAGAAGAGCUAAUAAUAUUGUCAGCAUAGCAGGUCCUUCCAAGUCAGCCUCUGGGAAUAUGCUAGCUCUCAGCUACAAAUGUUUUACCUGAAACAGGAAGGUACAUUGGCCCAGACCCGGCAGACUGGCCGUGGCAUUUUAAUGAGAAAAAGCCCAGGGAAAUUAGCAGUCAGGUAAUGGUUUAUUCCCACUAUUACCCUUCUGACUCCUGUGAAUCAUGUCUAUCCCCGUUUCUGUAACUUUUCUUUCUCUUUAAUCUUGUGGUACCCCUCUUUCUGUCUUGAAACACUGCAGUAUCUACAAGGAAAUAUUUUAAUUCAGGUUUCAAUAUCUGACAGCAUCAAGGGGGGUCAUGACCUUUACUCGAUUCACGGAGUUUCAUUGUAAAAAAUGAUUGGCAUUGCAGUUUUUUUUAUAUACAAAAACUUAGACUCAUUGAAAAUAUCAUGUAGUAAUAUAUGAAAGCACUUCUGUAUCUGUCAUUAAAGACUCUGAAUUUAGAAUGAGGUUUCGAGGAGGAAACGUACUUCUUACCAUCCUAUUGCAUUUUAGGUUCUUACACACUCAAAUUUUCUGUUUCGGUCGAAAUAGUCUUUGUGUUAUUUAAUAUAAAUACUCAUGUACAUAAUACUUUCAUACUGUAUGUCCAUUCCUAUUUAGGAAAUCUGACAGCCUGAGCUUUUUUGGAAAUCAAGUGUUUAUUGAUGGUGGCAGCUAGGUAUUACACACUUCACUUGAAAAUAAUUAACACAAUAGAUUUCUUUGUCAUUGUGUGUCUUGUUGUUGUAUGCUUUGAACAAGUGCAGAUCUUCUCUUGUAUCUUCCAUAGCAGACUCUAUAUGUGUAUGUCUGCUAGUAAUGUUGAGACUUGAAAACAUUGGUAUUUUAGAAUAAAGAAACUCCAUUUCCAUCUUUCACAAUAUUUCUGCCAUUUUAAAAUAUAAAUGCAUAAAGGUUUCAAGUAGUUUUAUAGGCAUAAAACAUCAAAACAUAAUAUCAAAAAGCCUGUUAUUUUCUAUAUAGAGGUCUUUCUGCAC